UACGGAGGGUGCAAGCGUUUGUCCGGAUUUAUUGGGUUUAAAGGGUGCGUAGGUAGUUUUCUAAGUCUGGUUUGAAAGCAAGCGGCUUAACCGUUUGAUGUGGCUGGAAACUGGAGGACUUGAAUGGGUUGGCGGUAGCCGGAAUGGGUCAUGUAGCGGUGAAAUGCAUAGAUAUGACCCGGAACACCGAUUGCGAAGGCAGGCUACUACGACUUGAUUGACACUGAGGCACGAGAGCAUGGGUAGCGAACAGG
rnacentral:rRNA from 1 species